rnacentral:rRNA from 1 species
UAGGGUAUUGACCUAACAUGGCUAUGACGGGUAACGGGGAAUUAGAGUUCGAUUCCGGAGAGGGAGCCUGAGAAAUAGCUACCACAUCUAAGGAAGGCAGCAGGCGCGUAAAUUACCCAAUUCUAAAGAAGAGAGGUAGUGACAAGAAAUAACAAUGCAAGGCCAAUUUUUGGUUUUGUAAUUGGAAUGGUGGGAAUUUAAAACCCUCCCAGAGUAACAAUUGGAGGGCAAGUCUGGUGCCAGCAGCCGCGGUAAUUCCAGCUCCAAUAGCGUAUAUUAAAAUUGUUGCAGUUAAAACGCUCGUAGUUGAAUUUCAAAGAAUCGAUAUUUUAUUGUAACUAUAUUAGGGGAACUAUUUUAGCUUCCGCUUUAAUACGCUUCCUCUAUUAUUAUGUUCUAUAAAUAACAAAGAUUCUUUUUAAAAUCCCCACUUUGCUCUUAUGCUUUUUGGGGAUUUUGUUACUUUGAGUAAAUUAGAGUGUUCAAAGCAAACAGUUAAAGCAUUUUACUGUGUUUGAAUACUAUAGCAUGGAAUAACAAAAUUGAACAGGCUGAAAUUUUUUGUUCUUUUUUCUUGUUUUGGCUUAGUUACGAUUAAUAGGAGUAGCUUGGGGACAUUCGUAUUCAGAUGUCAGAGGUGAAAUUCUUAGAUUUUCUGGAGACGAACAACUGCGAAAGCAUUUGUCUAAAAUACUUCCAUUAAUCAAGAACGAAA